CAGCAUUACGGAAAGUAUUCAUUUCAUGGAAUUCCAGGAUGUAAAGCAGGAAAUCGUCCCGAAGGUAUUAGUUUUCCUAAAUCGUCUAACGACUAAAUCUUAUGGAAUUGAUGUUGGUGGCUGCUUUGUAAUAACUCCCUCGUCAACGCUUACGAUGAUGGGAAGUUUUAUUACUUACAUACUGGUGGUGAUUCAAACAAAAGAGUAAUAAUGGUCUCCCUUCUUUAUUAUAGUAAAUUCAAUAUGAUAUCGGAUUUAACUGCAUUGCAUUACCAUUAAAUGCAUUCAGACCAAGACUCUGCUGUACAAACUACACAAGAUCAAAUUUUUCUUUGAGCGUAAAGAUGGACGUGACAUUGCAGUGCGUACCGGGUCACCCUACCAUUUAAAACCCGCGAUGAUUCUAUUCUCUUUCCUAUCAUUUGCUCGUUGAU